rnacentral:lncRNA from 1 species
AUCCACAUUAUAAGAAGAACUCUCAUGUUUUGAGAAGUCUAAAAAAGAAUUCCUAUGAAAAGAGAGAAAAGCACAAUAAGAGCUAAACAUUUAAAAUAGGCAACAGCAGGUUAUAAAAAAUGCACAACCAAGAUAUGAUUAUAUACCUUAUCAUACAUAGAUAAAUACAUAUAUGCAUAGAUGAAUAAACACGUAGAUAAAUAAAUAGAUAACAAAAUAAAUAGAUAAGCAAGUAAACAGAUAAAUAAAUACAAAAAUUCAUAAAUAAAUAAAUAAAUAAAUAAAUAAAUUGAUAAAAAUAAAUACAUAGAUAAAUAAACACAUAGAUAAAUAAAUACAGAGAUAGACAAAUAAAUAGAUAAAGAAAAAAUACAUAAAUAGAUAAAUAAAUAAAUGGAUAGAUAAACACAUGGAAAAAAAACAUAGUUAAAUAAACAGAUAGACAAGUAAAUACAUAGAUAAAUAAAUAAAUAGUUAGAUGAAUAAAUAAAUAGAGUUUAACAUUCAUUAUGAGGGUCAACAGUAGCUUCAUUAAGUGAGCACAUUAUACUACAAUUUUCUUAUGCAGUGCCAGUGCAUCUGAAUAGUCUAACACAUUUAGGAUCCCUGUACCUAGGUUGCUUUCAUCCACAUUAUAAGAAGAACUCUCAUGUUUUGAGAAGUCUAAAAAAGAAUUCCUAUGAAAAGAGAGAAAAGCACAAUAAGAGUUAAACAUUUAAAAUAGGCAACAGCAGGUUAUAAAAAAAUGCACAACCAAGAUAUGAUUAUAUACCUUAUCAUACAUAGAUAAAUACAUAUAUCCAUUGAUAAAUAAACACAUAGAU